rnacentral:rRNA from 1 species
GUACACGCUGUGACUAGCAUAUCAAUAAGCGGAGGAAAAGAAACUAACAAGGAUUCCCCUAGUAACGGCGAGUGAAGCGGGAAGAGCUCAAAUUUGAAAUCUUAAAGGGUUUCCCUUUACGAAUUGUAGUUUAAAGAAGUGUUUUCUGUUGAGGUUUUGGUAAAAGUUCUCUGGAAUAGGACAUCAUAGAGGGUGAGAAUCCCGUAUUUGACCUUUACUUUCAACUUUGUGAUACACUUUCAAAGAGUCGGAUUGUUUGGGAAUGCAGUCCAAAAUGGGUGGUAAAUUUCAUCUAAAGCUAAAUAUUGGCGAGAGACCGAUAGCGAACAAGUACCGUGAGGGAAAGAUGAAAAGAACUUUGAAAAGAGAGUUAAACAGUACGUGAAAUUGUCAAAAGGGAAGCGUUUGACACCAGUGUUGUUUUUCUGAAAACUCAAUUAAAGAACUGUUUAUGCUAAGUUGUUUAGACUUUAUCAGCUAACUGUUUAGUUUUGAGCUUUUCUUUAAUGCACUUUUCAGUUAACAAGUCAACAUCAAUUUCUUUUGCUGUAAAAAAGCUUGAGGAAGGUGGCUUGAGAUUCGUCUUAAGUGUUUAUAGCCUCUUGCCUAUGCAGUCGGAGAGAUUGAGGUCUGCAGCGUAGAUCCUUCGGGGCUAAAUGCAUUUGUGCUAAGUUAUAGCAUUUUAUAGACAACUUGUUGACUAUGAUUUGUCUUGUGGCUUACUCGCUUAUGUUAUUUUACCUACGCUUAGGAUGUUGAAGAUGUAGCACAUCAU